rnacentral:rRNA from 1 species
ACAAGCGGUGGAGCAUUGUGGUUUAAUUCGAAGCAACGCGAAGAACCUUACCAGGUCUUGACAUCCCGAUGCUAUUCUAGAGAUAGAAAGUUACUUCGGUACGUCGGUGACAGGUGGUGCAUGGUUGUCGUCAGCUCGUGUCGUGAGAUGUUGGGUUAAGUCCCGCAACGAGCGCAACCCCUAUUGUUAGUUGCCAUCAUUCAGUUGGGCACUCUAGCGAGACUGCCGGUAAUAAACCGGAGGAAGUGGGGAUGACGUCAAAUCAUCAUGCCCCUUAUGACCUGGGCUACACACGUGCUACAAUGGUUGGUACAACGAGUUGCGAGUCGGUGACGGCGAGCUAAUCUCUUAAAGCCAAUCUCAGUUCGGAUUGUAGGCUGCAACUCGCCUACAUGAAGUCGGAAUCGCUAGUAAUCGCGGAUCAGCACGCCGCGGUGAAUACGUUCCCGGGCCUU